CAAUGAUCUUGUAAGGUCCCUUCCAGUCUCUAACAUCUAUGAAACUAUGAAAUAAUGUACUGUUCUUCUAUGCCCUUUAAUUGGCUAGAUCACACAAAAAGGUUUGUAAAUCUGCUAAAAACUAAGGUAUCUCAUCCUUUACUCCAAGAGGCAGAGACUUGUACUUAGAGAUCCAUCGGUUUCGAUAGCCAAAGACAGCCAUCCCCAGGACACUACCAGCAACCAGAGCCUGGAGACCAGGUAGUUAGCAGCAAGAGUAAGCACAGCCAAGGGAGGAGGCUAAAAACAAUAAGGCCUGAAGACAACCUGCUGCCUACCAAUCUGGCUGGAUCCAAAAUUUAUCUGAGAGUUUUGUAGUUAUUUGUACCAGUACAUGUUGACAAAAGGCAAAACGAAGUACUCUUCAAAAACAGACACUUUCCUCCACUGCCAGAGACUGAAAGGUCUGUUUUUAUUUCAGUGCUGAAAAAGACCACUCUACACCCAUGAACUUAUCUGUACUGAACAAUGGCUCUUUAAUUUCAGUUUAUAUAAUUAACCUUUGGAUUGUUAAAGUGUUACAUUCUCCACUUCAUCCCCACCCAACCUUCUGCCCUGAAUGAACACUAUAAAGGGCAUGGCGCUACAUAGUAAGCUACCACACAGUGCCAAGAGAACAUCAAAUGGCUCUAAACAAAAUUUCUCCCACUCAGCUUUAUUAAGGUGCUGCAAGGGCCACCACACAAAUGUAUCUCCACUUUUCAUUAAGUGUUUCACAUAGCAUAACGAACAAAACAAACAAAAUGUUCUAGUUUCAUUUACAAUGUGAAAUUUCCCCAAGCAUCACCAAAUAAAACACCUGAAGUGUGAAAGUACUUUUUCACACUUUAUGGUCUGUAAAUACCCAUCACCAAAAUUAGAAGCAGCCCCAUGAAUACUGGCUAGUAUGAUAUACAUUCCAUAUCUAUGAUGUGAUUAAAAAAAAUACUCACUCUCAACUCUCAAGCAUGGAUUAAGCAGGAGAUUAGCAUCAGCUAUCUUCACCUAUCUUUAUGCCACAACUCAGACACUCAAAC